UUUUUUUUUUCUUCCUUUUUCUCCCCAUCCCGCCCGCUGUGUCCGUCUCGGGGCGGGCAGUGCGGGGCGCGGGGCGGUCCCGGGGCGGUGCCGGGCGGGGAGCGGCGGCCCCGGGCCAGUAAAGGGCCGGGAUCGGGGCCGGGGUGCGGCCCGCCGCUCGCCAUGAGGGCAGCGCUCGCACCCGGCGUCCGCCUACUGCGCGCCGUGCCCCGGGACAGCCGCUACCGUGGACUGACACUAGUGCUGACCUUCCUCUCCUACACCAGCUACCACCUCUCCCGAAAACCCAUCAGCAUUGUCAAGAGCCAGCUGCACCUCAACUGUUCGGCGCUGGGCACCAACCCACACAACGACUCCAACAGCACCACGUGGUGCAGCUGGGCGCCCUUCGAUCAGGACAACUACAAGGAGCUUUUUGGUGCUCUGGACAAUGCCUUCCUUGUGGCAUAUGCCAUCGGGAUGUUCAUCAGUGGCAUUUUCGGGGAGCGGCUGCCGCUGCGGUACUACCUGUCGGUGGGCAUGUUGCUGAGCGGGAUCUUCACAGCACUCUUUGGCUUUGGCUACUUCUGGAACAUCCAUGUCCUAUGGUACUACAUCAUUGUGCAGGUGUGCAAUGGGCUGGCACAGACGACUGGCUGGCCCUCAGUUGUGGCAUGCGUCGGGAACUGGUUUGGGAAGGGAAAGAGGGGCCUGAUCAUGGGCAUCUGGAACUCACACACCUCCGUAGGCAAUAUCCUGGGCUCUCUCAUUGCGGGUGCCUGGGUGUCCUCUGAGUGGGGCUUGUCCUUCAUCGUGCCCGGAGUAAUCAUCGCUGUCAUAGGCAUUGUCUGCUUCUUCUUCCUUGUGGAGCAUCCCGAGGACGUCGGCUGCAGCCCACCCCAGCAACACGAUGCAUCAGGCGAGAAGGACCCCGAAGGGGUGACCUCCGAGGACCACAGCAGCACUGAUCCCAAAGAGCUGGCUGAGGAGCUUGAAGCCAUCAGCUUCCUCGGGGCGCUCCGGAUCCCCGGUGUAGUGGAGUUCUCCCUUUGCCUACUCUUUGCCAAGCUGGUGAGCUACACCUUCCUCUACUGGCUGCCACUCUACAUCGUGAAUGUUGCUCAUUUUGGUGCCAAGGAAGCUGGAGACCUGUCCACCCUCUUUGACGUUGGCGGUAUUUUAGGGGGGAUCUUUGCUGGCCUCAUCUCUGACUACACUGGCGGCCGGGCCACCACAUGCUGUGUGAUGCUGGUUGUGGCUGCUCCCAUGCUGUUCCUGUACAACCACGUUGGGCAGAAUGGCAUUGGCACGUCUAUAGCAAUGCUGAUCGUCUGCGGUGCGCUGGUGAAUGGCCCCUAUGCACUCAUCACAACGGCAGUGUCAGCAGAUUUGGGAACCCAUGAGUCCCUCAAAGGAAACGCAAGAGCCCUGUCCACCGUCACGGCCAUCAUCGAUGGCACGGGAUCUGUAGGUGCUGCUCUGGGGCCCCUGCUGGCAGGGCUUAUCUCCCCCACCGGCUGGAAUAAUGUAUUCUACAUGCUGAUAGCAGCUGAUGUCUUGGCUUGUCUGCUCCUUGCUCGUGUGGUGGUCAAAGAGGUGCGCGCAUGGUACGGCUGCAUGGCGAGGAAGAGAGGGUACGUCCAGCGCGGCAUGGGGAUGUUUGUGGGGCAUGGCCGAGGGAUCGCGGUGCUGAGCACCAUCCUUGUGUCUUGUAGCUCUAGUGUGCAGCUCACAGAGUCAGUGCUGGAUGGGAAGUAGCUCGGUGUGAGUACCUCCGGCUGCACCCGCUUCAGCACCAGCACUGAAUGCAAACACUGAUUGGCCCCAAUGCUUGGCGGGGUCACCAGCAGCCACACUCCCGCUGGAGGUGUCCCUGCUCGCUGCGGGGAGUUGGACCAGAUGGCCUUUAAAGGUCCCUUCCAAUGCAAACCAGUCUGUGAUUCUAUGAUUGCAAAUAAUUCCACGGCCAAGCCAAAGGACACAACCCCAGCGAGCAGGGCAUGCUGCAGGCAGGCACACAGCACAUCCCCAUCUCCAAUGCCUUGGGACACAAAGCACUGAUUAAUUCAAAACGAACAAAUUUAGAGGCUGCCCACCUGUGCUAAUGAGUAGGUGACGCGGGUCAUCAGCUGCUAAUCAACCCAUGGCCAGAUUGCCGUGGGAGGGUGCACCUAAAUCAUCUCCAAAUCAGCACCGGCCAAACCCCGCGAUGAGCCGUGGUGCGCAGCCCAACACGAGCUCCUCCAUCUUGUGCCCGCAGGUGAGGAGCAGCGUUGGUCCGCCUGGCGGUUCAAGCAGUUCUGACAUGCCCUCGCCAGCUGUCCCGCGCUGCCGAAGGGUGAAGGGACGCAGCCGCUGUGCCACCAUGUCACCGUGCC